GUGUCAGCAGCCGCGGUAAUACGGAGGGUGCAAGCGUUGUCCGGAAUUAUUGGGCGUAAAGGGUCCGCAGGUGGCAGUUCAAGUCUGCAGUCAAAGGUCGGGGCUCAACCCCGGAAAGGCUGUGGAAACUGAACAGCUAGAGUACGGUAGGGGCAGAGGGAACUCCCAGUGUAGCGGUGAAAUGCGUCGAGAUUGGGAAGAACACCGGUGGCGAAAGCGCUCUGCUAGGCCGAAACUGACACUGAGGGACGAAAGCUAGGGGAGCGAAAGGGAUUAGAUACCCCGGUAGUCCUAGCUGUAAACGAUGGAGACUAGGUGUGGCCUGUAUCGACCCGGGCCGUGCCGGAGCUAACGCGUCAAGUCUCCCGCCUGGGGAGUACGCACGCAAGUGUGAAACUUAAAUGAAUUGACGGGG
rnacentral:rRNA from 1 species